CCCUCCACCACCAACCGGAUUCCCACCACCUCCAGAAGGUGAAUCCCGUCCACGCAGACAAGCACCACAGGAAGGUGACCGCCCUCCACCACCAACCGGAUGCCCACCACCUCCCGAAGGAAAAGGACCAGGUGCCAGUGGUCUUUGAAAGAGGGAGACCACCCCCUCCACCACGCGGGAACUUAAUUGUUCUUGAGAUGACCCGUUGGUGACUCAGUUCGAAAUAAAAA